AUCCUUGGAAAUUUGUAUUCGUCGUGUCGGUGUAUGUCCUACUUAUACUUUUAUCUCGGUGUAUGUACUAAUGUUUCUAUUUCUUUGCUUGCUUAUGAUCGAACACUUGAAAACUCAGACGAGAGAGAUUGGAGGUCCGAUAUGGGCUGUCGCCACUGCCUUCAAUAUUGUUUUUGCAUGUUGCAGCAUUCAGCACCAUUUCUGGGUUCUACUUCUUUUUCAUCUUCCCAAAAACUCCAACACUUGUUAUGGCGCGUGCAAAUCUUGCGAUAUACAGUCUUUCCUUGAUGAAGAUGUCUCGAAUGUAUUCCCUUGUGGUGAUUGUUUUUUUUAUCCCCAAAUAAUAUAAUAUCUUCAUUAUGGUUAUUUCUGUUUGUUAUGGUAUUAUUUUCGUAGGCUUCGUGAUAUGGUUGUGGUUGCAGCCGAUGAUGUGCUCAAAAAACCUUCAAUUUCUCUCUCUUGACAGAGUUUUCAGGUGCUCGAUCGUAGACACGCAAACAGAUAAAUAAAAGCAUGAGUAUGGCUGAGAUGGUUGUAUUGGCAGUUAGGAAACCAAUGGCUAAUAUGGAUAUUCACUACAAGAGAAGGGGGCAUUGUCAGGGCAUUGUUGCCGGCUGCCAACAUUUACCGUCGGCAAUUGAAGGUAACGAGCUCCCCAUUAUAAUUUUCAUUGUUUGGGGUAGCCUUAGCAUCCAAUCCCCUCUUCUUGUAGUUUCUGUUUGUUUCUUUACUGUGCUGACCACCGCCUCUUCUUCCAGGGAAAGCAGAUUCAUGCCUGCCUCAUUCUCCUCUCGAUCAUCCCCAACAACUUCCUCACCCAAAGCUCGUUUAUAUGUAUGGUAAAUUGUUUAUAUGUACUGUAAAUUCGUCCAUAUCCAUCACACCCGCAAGAUGCUUGACGAAACUCCCCACGGAAAUAUCUUCUCUCUCAAUGCAAGCCCAUUGCCUAUUCUCGUCUCUGUCAUCAUUCAAAGUCACCCUUAAACCUGAUAGUUUCACCAUCUCCUCCCUCUUGAAAGCGUUGUCAUCGGUGUCGCUUCCCCAUCCGAUGUUGGGUAAGGAGAUUCAUGCUUCUGUGUUUGGUCAUGGCUUCAAUUCUGAUCUAUAUUCUGAUCUAUUUGUCGCUAUUGCGCUGGUUACAUUUUACGCCAGGUCUGGUGAUUUGGACUUGGCUAGAAAGGCACUUGACGAAAUGCAUGAUAGAGAUGUUAUAUCAUAGAAUGCCUAACGGCUUGAAAAUCAGGCCGGUGUUAUUAUUCCUAUUCUCCACCUUGUUUAUUUUGUUUUCUGUUCGUUCAGCACAAAAACAUGAGAUUGUACAAUAUUUGCAAGCUAAGAAACAUAUAUUUGGAAUGACUGGUGAUUGAGUGAAUAAUGCUUUGUACUGACUGGUCAUGCAAUCUUUCAAGAGGAUGAAAAAUUACACAGGACGAGUAAUAAUACAGUUGACUUGUGAACCAGGAUACUCGAUAGGGUUCUAUCUACCAGAUUUGUUUCUGGUUUCCCAUCUGAUGUCUAUCUAGCUACAGCCAAUAAUAUUGGGAAAUUUUAUUUGAUUGCAGAUGAAAUAAUGAGUUUCUACAGAUGCAAGUUUUCUAAAUGGAUUUCUUUUUCUAUAACAGGUCAUGAACUUCUGCUUUGUUAGCUGUAGUAAGGGUACUAGAUGGUAUUUUUUGUUGCAGUGUUAACUUUAUUCUGUGGGAUCCCUCAUCUUGGACUGGGUGGCCCUGGGUUGCAUUAGAGUAGAUAGAGUCUGAUUUAGUUUUUCUUUUGGGGCAGUCUUGGGGACAUAUGAUAGGCAGGCUCGGACGGUUUUUUGAGCUGAGGGCCUGUCUGAAUGUAAUUCUGUUGUAUAGCUCUUGUUGUGUGGAUAAAGGUUUUCUUUCUUAAAAAAAAAAAAAAAAACUUUGUUCUGUGAGAUGGAUUUCUGUCUUUUGACCAGUUAUCCUGUGGUUAUGCUACUGCUGUUAACCUGUGCUGCAAGAGCGUGACAGAUUUGGGGAUUGGGUGCAUUGCGGUUGGGUGCCAGAAAUUGAAGUUGAUCUGUUUGAGUGUGACCGAUCUUGGGGUGGGAUUGAUUGCAGUGAAAUGAUCCGGAGCUUGGAUCUUUCCUAUUUGCAGGUCAGGCCGUAUUUAUGUGUUUGACACGCAAAAGAAUCUAAGAGCUCCUGCUUUGCAUAAAGUUGUUGAGCCAGCAGAAAUUCUCAGCUGGAAGAAGGCCGGGCCAUAUCUUCAAUGAAGCCUUUGUGUCAUUGUCCAUCCAUCGGUCUCUCUCUCAGCUGGAAGGAGAGCUGCUAGAAGACCUCCUUACCAUAUAGAUCCAUAGCCAAAUUAGUUCAAGGCACUUGUUUUGCCAGUUCUGUACAUCAAUUAUGUGUCUGAUUUUGCUAAAGAACCAUCAAACAUGCUUGCUUAUAACUGUUUUGACACAUGGUUGGUGGUACAAGCUCAAUAUAAAAGAUGACUGAUACUGAGGACAUUCAGCCCCUUGUGUGUGACAAUGGAACUGGAAUGGAAGCCAAUUGUUGACAUCAAAACAGUGUUAUCUCAACUAAUGGAGAGGUGGUCAAAUUAUGCUGUGUCAAGUUCAGAAGUUUUGUCAGAAUUCUUUCAAGUAAAGGCCUUUGCGAAAUUAAGCAAUGCCAUUGGGAAGAACUACCGGUUGCCAUCCAUGUUCCUAGACAAGCACAUGCAUGGAGUAGCUCGAUGAAAAGGCAACCAGUCCAGUCGUCUACAUUUCGUUCAGUGAUGUGGUCAAGCUAGGAGUGGACCACAUGGAGUAUUUUUUUUUUUUUUUUUUAAAUAUAUUCAAGAUCAUUUUCAACUUAUUGUUGUAAAUAUUAUAUAUAUUUUUUAUUGUAAAGUAAUAUAAUUUUUGUUUAAUAUUCAUUUUAAUUUUAUUGCAACAUUUUUUAGGUUUUAAAUAUUAAAAAAAAUAAUACAGGUUCCAAUUGAAUUAUAUAUAUAAGAAAAUUUUAUUGGCC